rnacentral:rRNA from 1 species
UACAGAGGUCCCGAGCGUUGUUCGGAUUCAUUGGGCGUAAAGGGUGCGUAGGCGGUUGGGUAAGUCAGAUGUGAAAUUCCAGGGCUCAACCUUGGAACUGCAUUUGAUACUGCCUGACUAGAGUACUGGAGAGGAGACUGGAAUUCACGGUGUAGCAGUGAAAUGCGUAGAUAUCGUGAGGAAGGCCAGUGGCGAAGGCGAGUCUCUGGACAGUUACUGACGCUGAGGCACGAAGGCCAGGGGAGCAAACGGG